rnacentral:rRNA from 1 species
UCGGAAUGAGUACGAUUCGAACCACCUAACGAGGAACGAUCGGGAGGGCAAGUCUGGUGCCAGCAGCCGCGGUAAUUCCAGCUCCAAUAGCGUACGUUAAAGUUGCUGCAAGUUAAAAAGCUCGUAGUUGAACGUUCGGGUUCCGCGGGACGGGGCCGCCCCGCGAGGGACGGCGCCGCCCCGGGGCUCGUGAUAUCUUAUCUCGCCGCCCGUCGCGAGGCGGACGGAGGGAUGGAUGAGGUUUACCUGGAAAAUCGGGGCGAUCUAGGCGGGCGAACCUCGCCAACGAACGAUCGGACAUGGGAUAACGGAAGAGGGCGUCGGCUCGACUUCGUCGGUUCCUCGGGCCGAGGCACGUACGGUGAAUAGGGACGGUCGGGGCCGCCCGUACCGGGUCGUGAGAGGUGAAAUUCUAGGAUCGACCCGAGACGAACUGCCGCGAAAGCAUUCGGCAAGGACGCUUUCAUUAAUCAAGAACGAAAGUCGGGGGU